UACGAAGGGGGCUAGCGUUGCUCGGAAUCACUGGGCGUAAAGGGUGCGUAGGCGGGUCUUUAAGUCAGGGGUGAAAUCCUGGAGCUCAACUCCAGAACUGCCUUUGAUACUGAGGAUCUUGAGUUCGGGAGAGGUGAGUGGAACUGCGAGUGUAGAGGUGAAAUUCGUAGAUAUUCGCAAGAACACCAGUGGCGAAGGCGGCUCACUGGCCCGAUACUGACGCUGACGCACGAAAGCGUGGGGAGCAAACAGG
rnacentral:rRNA from 1 species